rnacentral:rRNA from 1 species
AUGUUCGUACCGGUGAUGUAUUUCCAUCACAGGGACAGUUGUAGGAGUACUUCGCAAAUAGUACUACUGCACUGGGUUCUUGAGGACUAUGAUACUUCAGAAUGGACUUUGAAGCACAAUAUCAACCACUUGCAGUUGCUUGGAAGAAAGUAUUUAUCGCACGCGGAACGUUACAGUAUUAUUUCAAUCCAUCCAGAACACAAUUUGGUUUUUAUAGUAUGUGGAGAUGAGAGUGCACUAAUGUCAUACGACAUGGAUUCAAUAGAGCUGUGUUUUAUACGUGAACUUGGUUCUGAGUGUAAAGCUGAAUGGCCUGUCUGUGGCAACAAGACUCCUUUUUAUCCACAUGUUCCCUUGUUCUCAGAAUCAUUGGCGGAUGGGUACUAA